GGGAAGAUAGCUCCAAUGGUAGAGCGGUGGAUUGAAGCUCCACGCGGUAUAGGUUCGAAUCCUAUUCUUCCCACUA
rnacentral:tRNA from 1 species